UCUCACAAGGAAGCAGUUUUCUUUCCUCUGACCAAGGCAAGACACGCAACAUUUGUCUCUGCAAUUAGUCACCUUUAUUGACCAGAGCAAAAUUCACAAUGCCCAGUCUGAUGCUGGCAAAGCAGUUUCAGAGAAAUUGGAUACUUCUUGGCAAUCCCUCUUUGGGAUUCAGCAGAAGGGUUGCAGAUAAACAUGAGUGGAGGAGUAAAGAAGAAUAUGCAGAGGAGUGAGGAUGAAAAGUCUCAACAUGGAAAAGUAGAGCGUACACGGACAGGUGACAAGGCUGGGUCUCAGCAGACUGUCAGCAUCACUUCCACCUGCCUAACAGCGAGGAGGGAAGGGGCAGCAGGGCAAAGGGAGAGCCAGACCACCCGCUCUCCGCUGGCAAAUGUUGCAGGGGAAGAUUGCCAAGCUGCGUGUGAGCAAGGCUUGGGAAUGCUCAUGGGCCUGGAGACAUCUUUAUUAGGAAGGAGGAGAAUCCAGGCCAGCAAAGCUAGAAGGAAAGAGAGAAAGUCUGGAAAAAAAGUCAAGACUGGGCUCAUUGCAGGGAGUUUCAUGCAGAACUAUCCUACUAACAAUCAGGCCUUUUUAGUAACAAAAUAAAAAGCAAAAUAAGGCAAAAGCUAGCAUUUGCAAUUUCUCAAUUAAAAUGUAAUUUACACCCUGCGCUGUCUCACAGAUAAAAGCAUGCUUUGCUCACCCAAGUGUGAAACAAUAUUUACAGAAACGUUUUGUGGCUUAAUGUGCUGCUCUGACGUUACAGAUGUCUGCACGUGGACGGACACACGCGCCGGCUCUGGCCAAAGGCAGCUCCGCGUCCACAGCUCCAGGCUGGUGUCUGGGGGCCACUAGGAGUGGAAUUUCUCCAGAGCUGAGCUGGCCCUUUGUGGCCAAGGAAUAAAACCAGACUGCUAUGAAGUGCAAACCAGCAAAACCUGUGGUAGCUGAGUAGGCUGAGACCUUCCCAGGACCCUUCCCUUCCUACAGCAGCUCCUGGGCCUCGGCAGAACGUGUUUAAUCCUGUCAGCACCCAAUUUCAGGGAUUUUUUUCUGAGUGCUUAGGGAGUCUUGAGCCUAAAAUGGAGUUUUACUGGGUUGGUAGGACUGAAUAGGAGUGGGAACAAGAAUGCUCUUGUCAAGGCCUCUGUGUAGGGGGAGCAGAACUGCUGAGGGAUGCUUUACUUCCAGCAGCUGCUCAAAGAUGAAAAAAGAUGUGUGGAGAAGGGGUUGCACUCUGCUGCAUCAUUU